AACGCGAAGAACCUUACCUGGUCUUGACAUCCCAGGAACCCUGAAGAGAUUUAGGGGUGCCGUAAGGAACCUGGAGACAGGUGCUGCAUGGCUGUCGUCAGCUCGUGUCGUGAGAUGUUGGGUUAAGUCCCGCAACGAGCGCAACCCUUGUCCUUAGUUGCCAGCAUUCAGUUGGGCACUCUAAGGAGACCGCCGGUGACAAACCGGAGGAAGGUGGGGAUGACGUCAAGUCAUCAUGGCCUUUAUGACCAGGGCUACACACGUGCUACAAUGGUAAGUACAGAGGGAAGCCAACGCGCGAGCGGGAGCCAAUCCCAGAAAACUUAUCGUAGUCCGGAUCGGAGUCUGCAACUCGACUCCGUGAAGUCGGAAUCGCUAGUAAUCGCAGAUCAGCAUUGCUGCGGUGAAUACGUUCCCGGGCCUUGUACACACCGUACGUC
rnacentral:rRNA from 1 species